UACGUAGGGUGCGAGCGUUUGUUCGGAAUUACUGGGCGUAAAGCGCACGUAGGCGGCUUUGUAAGUUAGAGGUGAAAGCCCGGGGCUCAACCCCGGAAUAGCCUUUAAGACUGCAUCGCUUGAACACGGGAGAGGUGAGUGGAAUUCCGAGUGUAGAGGUGAAAUUCGUAGAUAUUCGGAAGAACACCAGUGGCGAAGGCGGCUCACUGGACCGUUGUUGACGCUGAGGUGCGAAAGCGUGGGGAGCAAACAGG
rnacentral:rRNA from 1 species